UGAAGGCUUCUGAUGAACAGAGCAAGAGUCUUCCCCAAGGAACAUCUUCAGCAGAAACCAAAUAGUUGGCUGGAUUAACUGGCUGUCAUUCAGAGGGAACUUGGCAGAUCUACUUUGCUUUUGUUGAACCUCUCCACAGCACAUCAUAAAGAUUUCCUAGGUCCAGAAGCUACAGAAAAGACAACUAAGCAGCAGAAAAAUGUGACUCUGAGAAGAGACUUCAAGCCUUCUGAUGAUGAAUUUUCUACUGAUCAGUUCUCAUUUAAAUAUAUAACUGAAGCAUGCAUAAAAGUUAA